UCAGGCAGCAUUGGCGGAAUACAGACCUAAGAAAUAUCUCCACUGAAGAUGGGCUCAGGAAAAAAACCUUAAAAUUCAUGAGGAAAUAUUUAACCAUGAGUGACAAUCAACAAAGAACCUUAUUACUCAUGGCAGAAGCAGAAGGCAGACUUCACAUUUGAGCCAAUUACCCUUGGCCUCCUGCCCACUACCCUCACCCCUCAACAAGAGAGUGACACAGAUGGGCCUACACGGACUCCAGCACAAACAGUGGGCUGCAUUGUAGGAAAGGAACGCUGAGUGUUGGGGGAGUCACGGCUUUUCUAGUGAAUGCGGUUGAGAAUCUGCCUGCCAAUGCAGGGGACACGGGUUCGAGCCCUGGUCUGGGAAGAUCCCACAUGCCCCGGAGCGACUAGGCCCGCGAGCCACAGCUACUGAGCCUGCGCGUCUGGAGCCUGUGCUCCGCAACAAGAGAGGCCGCGACAGUGAGAGGCCCGCGCACCGCGAUGAAGAGUGGCCCCCGCUCUCCUCAACUAGAGAAAGCCCUCGCACAGAAACGAAGACCCAACACAGCCAAAA